CGGAUCAAUAAACACUAUAUUAGGAUAUCCACGUUAUCAUUGCAGUCUUAUCAUAUAAUAUCUAUUAUUUUUAAUUUUCACAAAAAAAAUUGUAUAUGGACGUUAUUUAUAAAGUAGCUUGCAGUUUGCACUGCUAGGAGUUGCCCAAUCCCUUGGCAGUUUCAAACUAAGGAUGUCAUCAUCAUAUUGAGGCUUGAAAUCCAACUAAAGAAAUAAAAUGCAUGAAAUCAAACAAAACGGUGGCAAUGAGACAUAUUAUAGAACACUUCGAAUGCAACUCUAUAAACCUAUAUAAGUUAAACCAAGAUGGCCUCUGUCACAUGCAGAAACCAAAACUACAAGCUACCCAUCUGGUAAGACUGGUUGCCACUCGGUGAUUUGAGAUUGCACAUGAUGGCUGAGCACCACCUCUCCUUAGUUCUUGAAAAAACUGUCCCUAUUCUCAUCGUUCUCGCACCUGGUUCUUCUUCCCUCACCAUCCCAUCUUCUGGCACCUGGUUCUUCUCUCACAUGCUAAAUCGUUGUUCCCUUUUCACUAGUUUCUCUCUCUCUAAUCUCUGGUUCUUCUUUCUCUCUAAUCGUUAUAGGGAAAUUGAAGAUCUGGAAAAGUUGAAUACUCUUCUUGGAUUAUUU
rnacentral:lncRNA from 1 species